rnacentral:lncRNA from 1 species
CUUCUCUCUGGAUUGGUUUUUUUCCUUCACCUUUAGAAGCUUUUUCUAAUUCACCAUCAACCCCCCUCCCCACAACUUAUAGUAAACUUUUCCCAUACCUGGGCUACUCAUGUUUCUUUAACAUUGUUGCACUUCAGUUUACUUGGCCUGUCCACAUAAGACCGUGAGUUCUUUGCUUGCUUUGUUAGCACAUACACUAAAAUUGGAAUGCUGCAGAGAAGAUUACCAUGGCCUCUGUGCAAGGAUGCCACACAAAUUUGUGAAACAUUCCAUAUUUUUUAAAAAGAAGGGAAGUCCAAUGGAAGAGAAUAGAGAACUCUAAAAUAUGACAACACACCUACAACCAUUUGAUCUUUGACAAAUCUGACAAAAACAAGCAACAAAGAAAGGAUUCCCUACUUAACAAAUGGUGCUGGGAGAACCGGGGAGCCAUAUGCAG